AGGGCGGGGAUACCGGAAGAGGCGGGGCUCGGGGAAACGCAGGCGGAAGGCGCGGGCCCGCUGGAGGCCGGGACCGGCGGAAGGGGCGUGGCCUGUGGAAGGGGUAGGCCGGCGGGAAUCCAGAGUCAUGGGUCUCCCUGGUGGGAGGAGAAGACCAAACGAAGUAACGUCUGUAAAACCUCUUCCUGGACAGCAUAAGGCCUCCACAUCUAAGUUCCUGCCAUUAAAAUGGAGACAGCAAAGCCAACCCUAUCCAGUCCUUGGGACUGUUAUGAACAGAAAAUGAUGCAAUGUAUGAAAAACUGCUUUAACGAGGAAAACAAUACAGUGUGUUUUUGGAAGAUGUUAUUGACUUGUGAACCGCAUUAAAUGCUCUGAAAUAAAAUGAAAGUAAAAAUGAAUAAGUAAAAA